rnacentral:rRNA from 1 species
GACGAACGCUGGCGGCGUGCUUAACACAGGAAAGUCGAACGGUGAUGCUCCAGCUUGCUGGAGUGGAUCAGUGGCGAACGGGUGAGUAACACGUGAGCAACCUGCACCAGACUCUGGAAUAAGCGCUGGAAACGGCGUCUAAUACUGGAUACGAAACUGGCCCGCAUGGGCAUGGUUUGGAAAGUUUUUCGGUUUGGGAUGGGCUCGCGGCCUAUCAGCUUGUUGGUGAGGUAAUGGCUCACCAAGGCGACGACGGGUAGCCGGCCUGAGAGGGCGACCGGCCACACUGGGACUGAGACACGGCCCAGACUCCUACGGGAGGCAGCAGUGGGGAAUAUUGCACAAUGGGCGAAAGCCUGAUGCAGCGACGCCGCGUGAGGGAUUACAGCCUUCGGGUUGUAAACCUCUUUCAGCAGGGAAGAAGCGAAAGUGACGGUACCUGCAGAAGAAGCACCGGCUAACUACGUC